rnacentral:rRNA from 1 species
GACGAAGGGGGCUAGCGUUGUUCGGAAUUACGUGGCGUAAAGCGCGUGUAGGCGGUUGUCCAAGUUGGAUGUGAAAGCCUUGAGCUCAACUCAAGAAAUGCAUUCAGGACUGGAUGACUAGAGGACCGGAGAGGAUAGUGGAAUUCCCAGUGUAGUGGUGAAAUACGUAGAGAUUGGGAAGAACACCAGUGGCGAAGGCGGCUAUCUGGACGGUUUCUGACGCUAAGACGCGAAAGCGUGGGGAGCAAACAGG